rnacentral:sRNA from 1 species
CAGGCGUUGACUGAAGUCUAUGCCAAGGUAACUGCCUCCGAGCAUGAAGUGUGUCUCCUUUGAGUGGAGUCCGCGGGGCCUUCAUGGAUGAGCUCUCAAUUUGUAAAUCCUGGGGCCUGGACACAGUGCAGGUGCCCAGGUUUGGGGAGAGCGUGCCUCUGAGCCUCAGAUGAGCAGCCUGUGACACGACCUUGAGCUCUGCAAACCCAUGGCUGUUCUCCCAUUUUCUUAGGCCAAUAGUUUCACCGUCUCCUCUGUCGCCGCCCCUUCCUGGCUUCACCGUUUCAUCAUUGGCAAGAAAGGGCAGAACCUGGCCAAAAUCACUCAGCAGAUGCCAAAGUAAACAGAAUCAAAGACCAGUACAAGGUGUCCGUGCGCAUCCCUCCUGACAGUGAGAAGAGCAAUUUGAUCCGCAUCGAGGGGGACCCACAGGGCGUGCAGCAGGCCAAGCGAGAGCUGCUGGAGCUUGCAUCUCGCAUGGAAAAUGAGCGUACCAAGGAUCUAAUCAUUGAGCAAAGAUUUCAUCGCACAAUCAUUGGGCAGAAGGGUGAACGGAUCCGUGAAAUUCGUGACAAAUUCCCAGAG